GAUGAAGAACGCAGCGAAAUGCGAUAAGUAAUGUGAAUUGCAGAAUCCCGUGAACCAUCGAGUCUUUGAACGCAAGUUGCGCCCGAAGCCACUAGGCCGAGGGCACGCCUGCCUGGGCGUCACACGUCGUUGCCCCCCCCCCCAUCUACUCCUUCGGGAUUGCGGGGGGCGGAUGAUGGCCUCCCGUGCGCCUAGCCGCGCGGUUGGCAUAAAUACCAAGUCCUCGGCGACGCACGCCACGACAAUCGGUGGUUGCGAAACCUCGGUUGCCCGUCGUGUGCGUUCGUCGCGCAUCGAGGGCUCGAAAAAAUGCUCGGCUCCGGCUCGGCUUUCAACGCGACCCCAGGUCAGGCGGGGUUACCCGCUGAAUUUAAGCAUAUCAAUAAGCGGAGGA
rnacentral:misc_RNA from 1 species